GAGCCGGUGUGUGCUGGGUGCCGAGAAGAGACAGCGCCGCCGGCCGUGGGGAGCGGACGCAGUGAUUUGCUCCCCCUCGUGCAGCAACCCCCACACCCAGCACCAGGAGCCUGUUCCUCUCACGCCCUCACCUGGCUGAGCCGCAGUAGUUCUUCAGUGGCAAGCUUUAUGUCCUGACCCAGCUAAAGCUGCCAGUUGAAGAACUGUUGCCCUCUGCCCCUGGCUUCGAGGAGGAGGAGGAGCUGCUUUCCCCAUCAUCUGGAAGGCUUUCUGCCUCCGAGAUGUGGCACCAUAGUGCGGUGCCCUGUGGCUUCACCGCCCUACUUCCACCUCCGCCCAGCCUGUAAUGUUUAUAUAAGCAGCCUCAAGGACCAAGAACCAUCUGCGAAAGGACACACACAGGAAAUUCAUAAAAGAAAUCUGAAUGGAUAAAACCAUGAAAAAAAGUAUGCUUCAUUAGUAAUUAAAGAAAGGCAAAUAGAGCUGGAAGCAUUUUUCCCUUAGCAAACCAUAACAGAAAAAAAUAAGACCCAAUAUUGGCAAAGAGACUACUGAAAAAACAUUCCCAUACAUUGCGUGUGGGAGUAUACAUCGGUGCAGGCUUCCUGGAUGACAGUUGGGUGAUAUGUGUCAUGUGGCCUAAAAGCCUCCAUGUCAUUUGACCUACGAAUUCUAUCUUUGGGAAUUUAUCCUAAGAAAAUACUUAAGGAUUUAGUUAGUGAUAAGAUGUUCAUCCCAGCAUUGCAAUGGAGAAAAAUGGGAAGCAAUGGUUUGGUUGGGAAUUUAUUCCUUUUCUGCUGUAACGAAAGUUUGCAAUAGGGGAUUGCUUAAGUAAAUUAUUGUAUCUCCAUCCAGAUGGUGGAGUACCGCGCAGACAUUAAAAGUCAUGUAAAAGAACAUCUGACUGAAAGAAAAAUGCUCCUUGAAUAUUAAAAGGUUGUAAAAAUAGUGCAUGUUAUGUGAUUUCAAUUUUGUUUUUUAAAAUAUGGGUGUAUGCUUGUAUACGUAGAGCAGAUAAAAAAGACGGAAGGCAUACUAAAAAAUGUUGAGUGGUUAUCUUUGUAUGGUGGAACAAAGUCACUGUAAUUUUCAUCUUUGGUUUUUCUGUAAUUUCCAAAUUUUCCACAUUUUGUAUUUCAUAUAAUA
rnacentral:lncRNA from 1 species